GGGAACUUAGGCUGUGAAUCCAAUCAAGAUCCAUGCAUAUUAGUUAUCUGUUAAAUGGAAAAGGUGCCAGAUUCAAAAAGCAAAGGCAUUCCAUUUCUGUUGGGUGGGGAAAUGAUGGACUGUUCAUUUUCACAUAUAUGUUAUAUGCCACUAAGUACUCUUGGCUGCUUAUCCAAUUCCUUUGGGUCAAGGACAGAGUAGAAACUGAGGCUCUCUGAAAAAAAUAAAACAGGAGAGGGUAAUGGUACUAGGGACGUUAGAUAUGACAAGAAGCAGGAUGCAACAAUCCAGAGGGCAAGGAUCCCUUUAGUCCAUGUCCCACUAAGGAAGGUGUGCUUACCCAACCAUCUCUCAUCAUUUAAGCUACCACUUAUGUGGCAGCUGUAAAAAGGGACUAUUCAAAGCCUGACGAAGACUGUAUCAUCCCAUGGCAAGGGGCACAACUGAGCAACUCAAGCUGCCUUAUCCUAAGGGACUGGAACGGGAGAAGGAAAACAAAACUACAAAGGGAUUCUCGGACUUGAGUAUUUGAGAAGAACUUGGCUGUACCACAUAUCCCAGCUGUGCCUAUAGCUGUAUCUUACCACAUAGGCAUUAGCAGGGGAGAUAGCAUGAUCAUGAAAGUGGUUUUCCCUGGGUGAGGCUCAUCCAUUCCACUGCGGGUGUGCUGACCCCUGCGAUUUCUCCAAAUGCGGGAAACUUGACUGCAUAAUCUGUGGUAGUGGGGGACUGCAUUUGCGCUUUCCCCUGGCACUUGGUCAAAGACAGAGAAAUAAACACAUAGGUAUGCUCCAAAGUCAUCCUUAUUACUGAAGUGUCAUUGGGCCCAAACUCACUUAAUCCAACUACUGUUCUGUGCUAAAAAUGAAUGGAAGACAUAACAUGUAAACGGAGGUGCUGCUCCUUUUCAGCAUAGUACUUAAAUUCUAUGAUAAGCGUAGCAGAAAUACAGAUAAGAGAAAUACAAUAAGAGAAAUCCAUCUGGUAAUAUACUUAGCAAAGAUGUCUAGUGGACUCACUGAAUAUGGGUAAAUCCAGCUGUU